AAACCCACAUGUGGGCUCACUCCCUCUGAGCUCCAGUGCCAGAGUGGCAGCUUGAAGGGCACCAGUAGCAUACUGGCAGAGGCUGAAGUGUCUAGCACUGAGGCAAGAAGAUACUACUGUCCCUUUUCUGAGCCCACCCCCUACAGAGUCAUGGAGUCAGCAGGCUGAUACCAUAUUUGAGACUCCAUGAAUCUGGCUAACAUGGUUGACCCACCUUGG